GCUCUUAGUGUCACGACUCUGGCUGGUAUUAAGGGACAUCAGCGAGAGAGGCAGGGAUCUUGAGCAGAUUUUAUCUCAGUACAUUACGUUCGUCAAGCCUGCCUUUGAGGAAUUCUGCUUGCCGACAAAGAAGUAUGCUGAUGUGAUCAUCCCUAGAGGUGCAGAUAAUCUAGUGGCCAUCAACCUCAUCGUGCAGCACAUCCAGGACAUCCUGAAUGGAGGGCCCUCCAAACGGCAGACCAAUGGCUGUCUCAACGGCUACACCCCUUCACGCAAGAGGCAGGCAUCGGAGUCCAGCAGCAGGCCGCAUUGACCCGUCUCCAUCGGACCCCAGCCCCUAUCUCCAAGAGACAGAGGAGGGGUCAGGAGGCACUGCUCAUCUGUACAUACUGUUUCCUAUGACAUUACUGUAUUUAAGAAAACACCAUGGAGAUGAAAUGCCUUUGAUUUUUUUUUCUUUUUGUACUUUGGAACGACAAAAUGAAACAGAACUUGACCCUGAGCUUAAAUAACAAAACUGUGCCAACUACUACUGGUGAUGCCUAAUUAUGAAUCCAACGUGUAACCAGUUAUAAAUACAUAUAUAUAUAAAAAAGGA
rnacentral:sRNA from 1 species